GAAGGAAAGAACAGGAAGGGAGCACACACAGCACUAUCAAGUGGAGAAUUUUCUGACACAUUUUCAGCCUCUCAUAGAAGUGCUGGUUGGAAGGGACCUCUCAAGCUCAUCCAGUCCAGCUGCCUCCUUAAAGCAGGACUGUUACUGAUACUAUGUUAGGUUGGUUAUGGCUUUCUUCAGUCAAGCCUCGAAGUCUGUACAAGAUGGAGACCCCAUGGUGUGAGCCAUGCCAUGGACUGUUUUAGCAGCAAAGGAACAUUAAGUCCUGACCAAAGCAGAGAUGUGAUUAAACUGGGCCCACCUACCACAUGAGUGUGCAUGGAAAUGGAAGAGAAUGAUGUCUGGUCUCAAGAAAAGGGAACACAGCAGCUGAUUUCUUCCAGGAAGUCCGGUCAAAGGUGUGUCAGUUGGCAAGAAGGCAAACUUGAGCAUGGAGGACGCACGGUGCUGUGGAAGGAAAAUUUUCCAUCUGCAUGUCUCAGAAGCUGCAUCAGUGAUGGGAGAGAAAUGAAACUGCUUUAUUCACGGGUCACACUCCUACGUGGGGAGGUACCCCUGUGAAGACAGUACUGCAUCCCAUGACUUCCUUCAUAAAUUACAAGAUACGCUUUAAGCUCUUUAUGGAAUUGAUCAGUUAAUUAAUCAGUUUAUCUGCCUCUGCCCUAGAUUUAAAUUUAAAUCUUUGUGGCAAUUCCAUUCAAAUCUCUUAAGCUCUGCUGAAAAAAUCAGUAAGCAGAAAGACUGGUAACCUGUAAAUUACUUCUCAUGCAAUAAGGUCCAUUUGGGUUAUUGAACUUUUUGUGUUAUUUGGAGAUGCUCUUGCACCUGCAGAGGCUAAAUCCAUUUUUGAUUAUUGGAACAAUUGUGCAAGUGAAGGAAUUGGGUAAUCUUGUAGUGAUGCAAACUAUGUAGUUUUCUAUGAAGGCAUUAGCAAAGAGUUGCAGGCAUUCAGAAUUAAUUCCAAUAAUGAGAUGGGAUUUAAAAUCUAAAUACUUGGUUUUCUAGCUGCAUUGCAAAUUUAUCCCCAGAAUCCACUCUGUGUUACUCAUCACCUUUUGCACUCUUUAACAAUGAUAAUGGAUUUUUUAAUACACGCAGGAAGAAAAGCAACAGAAUUGGAUUUCAAGUACUGCUAGCAAUGUGUUUGAGCUCAGCUUGGAUCCUAACAUAUGGAAGUUGCUGAAAUAAAAGAGUUUUGUUUUGUGCAACUGUACAUUCAAGGACAGCUCUGAAAUUCAGAACAGUGGCUCAGGUCAAGGCAGGAUUGCUGUGGUAGGUCCUGAGCUCUGGUCCGUGCUUGUAGGUGUUGAGGAGCUUACAUGUUUCUAGAGGAUGCUGUAGACUUUGCCUUGGACCUGACUGUCUGGUGUUUAUUUAAGCCUGUACUAGAACUACAUUCAUCUGAACCAAAAAUCUAGUCUGUAGUUACAAAGUCUGAAAUGCAAUGGAUCGGUCUUUCAGAAUAGUUUUUCGGCUAUUAAUUUCAGAUCAUCACUUCCAAAGCUCUACAACACCAUGCAUGAAUCAGGUGGAGAUAUUACCGUAGAAUGAGAUGUAGUUUGAUGUCUCUCAAUUCAGGAAACAGGGAAUAAAAUUCUUCAGGCUAGUACAUGUAGAACUUUAUAAGCUUCUGAAAGAUUUUUGUCUCUUUCUUGUAUGUAGAUACCGGGCUUGAUGUUAGCAAUUUGGCUCAUUAAUAACUGAUUUACAUCUCCUAGAUAGAAAAUUGCUAUCUGCCACAAAUUUGUAAAAGAGUUUCAUAUUGUGAAAUUCUCUAGCACAGUGAAUUCUUUGUGAUUUUAAUGCAAGGAAUUUGUGAUUAAAAUUUUAAUAUAAUCAUUGCAGUCUCCUGGGAUGCUUAAAUACAAGAAAAUGUUAUUUCCUGCAUCUUAGAGUUCAUUGUGGUGGAUGCAUUUAAAUGCCAUCAAUGGAUCGCUAUCUGCUUUGAAAACUGAACAAAACAGAAAGUCCCUCAAAGCAAGUAAAGAUACUGA